AGAGUUUGAUCCUGGCUCAGGACGAACGCUGGCGGCGUGCUUAACACAUGCAAGUCGAGGGCACCAGCAAUGGUGACCGGCGAACGGGUGCGUAACACGUGAGCGACCUACCGAUUCGUGGGGGAUAGCCGGCCCAACGGCCGGGUAAUACCGCAUACGCCAAGUGGACCGCAUGGCCUGCUUGGGAAACCUCCGGGGCG
rnacentral:rRNA from 1 species